rnacentral:lncRNA from 1 species
UAUUGUAGCUGUGAUGCUCUCUAUCUUCUGAAGAUUGCCAAAGUUUCUUAUAUUAUGUUUGUGCGAUCUGAAAAUUUUGAAUAUGGGUUUUUGUUUGCUUCUUGAGCCCAUUAGGAAGAGAAUAAAAUUUUGGAAAAAAUGCAUCACCAGAAAGUUGCUGAAGUUGAGAAGCUCACCCAGACUGUCCGUGAGCUUGAAGAAGCUGUUCUUGCAGGUGGUGCUGCUGCAAAUGCUGUGAGGGAUUUUCAACGAAAAGUUCAAGAGAUGAAUGUAAUAUAUAAAUAUAAAUAGCUAUCGACUUUUCCUAAACACAUUCUUCACGAUUGCACUGUCUGUGUAACUGAUAAUACUCAACACUAAAAUUUGGUUCUUAAUUUCACAAGAGGAAAGAAAAUCUCUUGACAGAGAGUUGGCUCGUGCGAAAGUAACUACAAACAGGGUGGCAGUAGUUGUAGCUAAUGAAUGGAAAGAUGCUAAUGACAAAAUGAUGCCUAUAAAACAAUGGCUUGAAGAAAGAAGAUUCCUGCAGGCAUGAUAGCUUUGCUCACUUCUAAUUUAAAACUUUUGAAUACCAAGUUACUUUUUCUCGCAUAUAGCUCACAUAGAUUGUUUUUCAAAUAUCAAAAUAAUGUCUUAAAGAUAGAAUAUUGCAAGGAUUAAAUAAGUCUAUAACUAGAAUGAGAAAAAAAUAACAUGAGUUAUAUAAAUCAGUAAGUUCCAGCCCUUAAACAUUCAAUGUCACAUCAGAACACUAAAAGAACACAUGGUAGUGUCAAACUUACAAGUUUGUAAGCCUUGAAUUGAUUGAUCUUGUACAUGUAUGCCGCUAACUUGCAGAGUAUGUGGUGGCUGCAACCGGGACAUUGGCUAUGGAAACUAUUUGGGAUGCAUGGGGACAUUUUUCCAUCCGGAAUGCUUUUGUUGUCGUGCAUGUGGCUCCCCAAUCACCGAGCAUGAGGUAGUUUCUUCUUCUUGCAUCUUUUGUAUUAUAUUUCGCCCCUUCCCCAGUUCAAAACACCUACAUCACACCCCUUAAAAAUGGAGAUUUUGAUUGUUUGUGUGAGGGGUGUGUGUGUGUGUGCCUGCAUCCAUGCAUGUGUUUUCCCUAUUUUGUUGAUGCAGUUAUGUUAAAAUAGGUAAUGUUGUUC